UUUCCGUAGGUGAACCUGCGGAAGGAUCAUUAUUGUAUAACCGAGGUGCGAGGGCUGUCGCUGACUCGAAAGGUCGUGCACGCCCGAGUGCCCUCACACACAUCCAUCUCACCCCUAUGUGCACCACCGCGUGGGUCCCCCUUUGGCGUGUUCGGAGGGGGGCUUACGUUUUCACACAAACUUUGUAUGCAGUGUAGAAUGUAUUUUUUGUUUUUGCGAUCACGCAAUCAAUACAACUUUCAACAACGGAUCUCUUGGCUCUC
rnacentral:misc_RNA from 1 species